AGUGAACGCUGGCGGUAGGCCUAACACAUGCAAGUCGAACGGCAGCACAGUAAGAGCUUGCUCUUACGGGUGGCGAGUGGCGGACGGGUGAGGAAUACAUCGGAAUCUACUUUUUCGUGGGGGAUAACGUAGGGAAACUUACGCUAUAACCCAAUACGACCACGGGGUGAAACAAGGGAACCUUGGAACCUGCGGGGAUGGAUUGACCGGAUGUCGGAUUAGCUAGUUGGCGGGGUAAAGGCCCACCAAGGCGACGAUCCGUAGCUGGUCUGAGAGGAUGAUCAGCCACACUGGAACUGAGACACGGUCCAGACUCCUACGGGAGGCAGCAGUGGGGAAUAUUGGACAAUGGGCGCAAGCCUGAUCCAGCCAUACCGCGUGGGUGAAGAAGGCCUUCGGGUUGUAAAGCCCUUUUGCUGGGAAAGAAAAGCAGCAGGUUAAUACCCCGCUGUUCUGACGGUACCCAAAGAAUAAGCACCGGCUAACUUCGUG
rnacentral:rRNA from 1 species